AUUGAACGCUAGCGGCAGGCCUAACACAUGCAAGUCGAACGAGUGGCGGACGGGUGAGUAAUUUCUGGGAAACUGCCCGAUGGAGGGGGAUAACUACUGGAAACAGUAGCUAAUACCGCAUACCAUCAGAUGUGCCCAGAGUGGAUUAGCUGGUUGGUGGGGUAACGGCUCACCAAGGCGACGAUCCCUAGCUGGUUUGAGAGGAUGACCAGCCAAACGGGGACGCAGACACGGUCCAGACGCCUACGGGAGGCAGCAGUGGGGAAUAUUGCACAAUGUGCGCAAGCCUGAUGCAGCCAUGCCGCGUGUAUGAAGAAGGCCUUCGGGUUGUAAAGUACUUUCAGCGGGGAGGCGUUACCCGCAGAAGAAGCACCGGCUAAUUCCGUGCCAGCAGCCGCGGUAAUUC
rnacentral:rRNA from 1 species